AGAUAUCUUCCCGUUCUCCAAAUUGUCUAACCCCGAGUCUCCACCCAUACCCAUUCCGGUCACCCUACAAUUCCUUCCGCUGCCUCUGCCAGUACCUGCCGCCGCUCGCAUUAGCGAUCCUUCUCCGGACGCACUGCCGGCGCCAACGCCCGAGCCACCAGCGCCUCUUACGGCAUCGCCAGUGGCCCCGCCGCCGCUACACCCACUAUGCCUCCACCUUCAUCCUCUCAGUGUGGUCAUCACAUGCAAACUCGCAGCAAAAAUAACAUCUUUA
rnacentral:lncRNA from 1 species